rnacentral:rRNA from 1 species
UCGCCUGCGCGCGGGAACGAUGACGUGUGCGCUGUGAGGACACUCGCAUCGCAGAUGAAAACUUAAAGAGCCUGACGGACGGACACCACCGGAGUGGAGUGUGCGGCUUAAUUUCCUCCCGCG